GGAUCGCAUAACUCCUUAAUAGCCUUAUCCUGGUGUAAAUCGCUCAACAGGAGAUUCUCUCCCCAUCCUUAUCCUUUCAGCCGCCAUGGAGCCCAGUUUUCCUCCCCCACACGUGAGAUCCCUUCACCAGCAUCUCUCUUCCUCAAGCGCCAUCCCUGGCUUCUCCCAUGCUGAGCGUCUCCAAUGCCCAAACCUCCAUGGUCGACGUCGCCCUGCUUAGGUCCAACCAGCUCCCCUUCCUGUUGUUGUGUCCAGCCGAUGCCCCUCCCUCCAUCUUCCUCUCUGCAGCAACCCUACCAUGGUUGUGGCCCUGCUUCCAUGGUGAGCUCGCCACAGCCCCAACAUCGGUCGUGCUGUCGCCCUCACGUCCAACUCCUCCAUCCCCCUGGUUCCCUCCCUGCUCCGACCAGGUUUGCCAGGUCUGACCGUUCUACUCGUCGCGCCCUCCCCAUGCCAGCACGCGAGCGCCCCCUCCCGUCCCUGCUCCUCUCCAUCGACACCCAGGCCGAUGCCGAGCUCCCAGCCCCUCCCGAUGGCAUGGUCAAUCAUCUAGGUAUCGUUCCUUUUCGGACCUCCUCUGCUUGGUCCCUAGCUCCACGCCGAUGUUUGCUCAGGUCACAUCCGUGUCGUGUUUUGCUCUAUUCGUUUCCCAUCCGGCGCUCGUGCUUAAUUAUUAAUUGUGUAUAUGUGUGCAUUUUUGGUGAAGAAUUGAAAUCCCCAUGUUUGAGCAAGGAAGUAAUUAAAGAAGUGAGGUCAUGUGAUGCUCGCCAGGUAUUCGGUGGGACGCCUGAGCCAUGGGAUUGACGUCGUUCUUGUGUAUUCGGAAUUGAUUGAGGUUGAUGUGCUCUGGGAUAACCUCAUGAUCCGUAGCAGUGCUUGCGUGCUAGUCCAUUGAGUUAUACAGGGAAGGAUUCUUUCCUCUCUUUUCUUUGUAGAUAUUGUGGUGGUAUUAAGUAUUUGUAGUGCUUAUAUUAGAUGAUCGUUGAAGUGUCUCGCCAUAAAGUGUUUGUUUAGUUGUCCCAUUAUUUAUAAUGAUAUGACCAAGUCUAGGUUUUAUAGGUUCGAUGUUAUGAUUGUGGUGAACUAAAAUUGCGUAGGAUGAGUUCAGAAUUUUUAUCGGCUAUCUGACGGGUCCUAUCAGUGUUGAUGUGUUGAUUGUGUUUAUAUGUGAAGUUUAGGUCUAAAAUUAUGAGUUUAUUUGAAAUGAUUUUGUGCACGAUUAUGAGGUGGACUAGUACAUAUAUGUGAUUAAGUGGGUGAUUUUAGAUCUACUUUAAUAUAAGGUAUUAGCAUAUUUGAAGUAUUAGGCACAUGAAAAUUUUAGAAGUUAACUAGGAGUUAAAUUAGGAUUCUUGCUGUUGGGACUGCAUGACCAGUUUUAGUUAGGCAACUAGUUGAUGAGGUAAAUCUUGUACAACAUUGCAUAAGUGCUCACUUUAUUCAUGGGUACAACAUUCACCACAUUAUCUUACACUUAGUUGUAGGCCACUUUAGGAAUGUAUUUUCUAUGAGUAACAGUUUUUCUUUUAUAAGUAGAGUUGGUAUAUUCAUACAUGAGUAUGGAGCAAACAAUUACUUCAGGCGCACAAUACAGAAUUGUUUCUCAUAUCAUGUGAUGGACCUGCAAAUUCAGUGUGCGGCAGUGCGUGGGCGCGUAGGCGAGCAAAUGCGUGGUGCUGCAGGAGUUGAAGUUGUAGUCCUUCAUUAGAUAGACUUCUUGCACAGUGAGGGCAGCAUGCUGGUGGAUUUCAGAGAGACUGGAGAAAGCUUCAUGUCGCUUCUAGACGAAUGAUGGAAUGAGCAGCGAAGGUUACUGAAGAAAACCUCGCAGCACUAUUUAUAAAUUGCAGACAGGUACAAAUUUAUGGGACAGUUGUAAACCCUCUUACAUGUAUUUAGUUCCCCAUUUGAUUUUGAUCCAACUAUGCAUAAUCUUGGAUAUGCUCUCUGAAGGUUGUGGACUGUCGCAUGUGUGGGGACCCAAAUUCAGUCCUUAGGUUUGCUUUCAUAGAGUUCACUGAUGAGGAGGGUGCAAGGGCUGCUCUGAAUCUGUCAAGAACCGUGCUUGGAUAUUAUCCUGUCAAUGUUCUGCCGUCAAAAACUGCCAUUGCACCAGUCAACAAAACAUUCCUACCCAGGGUAUGCAAACCUUUCGGAACCAACAUGCUUGUCUUAAGUUCAUGGCUCAAUGUUCAUGCUCUAUAUGAUAUGGUCUCUAAGAAAGUUGGUCGAUUUUCUGUGCUCUACAGUCUAACGAUGAACAUGAAAUGUGUGCAAGGACUAUCUACUGCACAAAUUAACAUUGACAAGAAGGUCACUCAAGCAGAUCUAAAGUUAUUCUUUGAGUCCAUAUGUGGUGAGGUUGGUCGUUCUUUACUCCAAACACAAUCUCCCUUCUGUAUAGCUAAAAGUUUGCAGAAAUGGCACCAUCAAGAUCGAUCUGGAGACCAACAAGAUCAUGGACUUCAUCAAGUUUGACGUCGGCAACGUGGUCAUGAUGACCGGCGGGAGGAACACCGGGCAUGUAGGAGUGAUCAAGAACAGGGAGAAGCACAAGGGCAGCUUCGAGACCAUCCACGUGCUACUUGGAGCUUUUUGCUAUGUCUAGUUUUCUCCUAUUUGUUGUACAGGAAAACAUAGAAUGGAAUUCAAAUUUGGUGGCCGCAAAAUGUGCAGACUUUAAUUCAUAUAAAGUUAGGCUUAACAUUAGUGCAAACAGUUGUAUUUUAGUUUAGAUUUAGAGUACACUUAUGUAUGUGUUGUUUGACAA